CAGCCAUUAAUCCACUUUCUGUUUCUACAUAUUUCCUCUUCUGGACAUUCAAUAAUUUCAAAGAAAGGAGGGAAGUACUAGAGAAACACAGAACCAUUAUACCUGAAGUUCUUUUCCACUCGGGCUUCACUGGGGAACAAAGGCAAGGAAUCUGAAAUGCAGUAUACUUUCAAGGAGUGUAUAAUUGAAUGGGGGAA